rnacentral:ncRNA from 1 species
UCUUCAUAUUGGCAAACCUAUCGAAAGAUAGGGACGCAAAGCUACGGGUCUAAGGGUUGAGAAACCUAUGAUCGCCGGGUUGCUGCC